rnacentral:misc_RNA from 1 species
AAGAUAUAGGACUUCUUUCCUUAGCAAACAAACAAAAAAUUUGGCAAAAUCUCUAAAAAUUCGGUAACAUUCUAUUAUUUGAACAAAAAUCAAAGCUUGGUAAUUUUAUUGAUACAAAUUGAAGCUCAAAUACCAUAUUGAAAUUCAUUGAUAGAUUUAAUGCCCAUAGAACAAAUUAAGCCAAGCUUAAAUUGUUAAGGGACUAAAGGAUUGACCUAAGUAUGAGUUAGACUUGAACUCAAAGAGUGUGCUGAAAGCUCUAUGAAAUUCAUCAAUACCUUUUAAUGACAAAACACAAGCUUCGUCAUUAUGCAAGACUGAGAAGGUAUCUUAUACUGCAAUUGUAUUUUGUUAUUGCUCCACUGUCUAGCAUGUAGCAUACAAUGCAAGAAAUAUGAACUUUAAGAAAGUGAAUUUAAUGUAUGUCACAACAUAAGAACAUAAAAGAAUUCAUUAGAAAUCCUACAGCAUUUGACACCUAGAGCUUCUGCUUUUGAUUCCCCAUGCUGUUUCACUUCUUUUGCACAACUUUCUUCCUCAUGAAACUUCCAGGUUGAGGGAGAAAUGUUCAGACUUUAGUCUUUUUCCACAAACUUUCAUCUUUUUGUUCUUUUAUGAUGUUAAAGGGUAGUAUAUAUGUGCAGGCAAAUGUAUCUGAUUAUUAGUUUAAAGUAGAAUGGCCAGGAACGAGGAAAUAUUCAUGAUAUUAAAUACAUAACAAAAUUCACUGAAAUAGAAUAGUAGUAGAAGGAGCACAGUGCACCCCAGGCACAUUGCUAGUGCAUGAGAACACCUGAAUAGCUUAAAAAGUUAAAGCUGGAUGGCUAGCAUCCAAUAGAUUGGUUAAAACCAUGACAGUUCCAGAAAAUCCUAAUGACAGGAUUAGAAAACCAGGAAAGAAGACUUCUUCCCAUUUACUGUUGCUUUAGACAAGGUGCUCCACACCUUCAAAAGAACUGCUAUUCCUCUCCACCCAUAAAUUUUCAACAUCAAGCACAUUAGUUUCCACACAAAAUAGCUUGAAUGUUGCUUUUAAAAAUUUUGCAACACAUUGUAACAAUGCAAAAGACAAAAUCACACAAAUCAAUUUCGAAAUAGUUGCUCCUCUCUUAGAUAGAUUUCACUGUAACGAAAUAUAAAGGGACCCAAAGCAUAUUUAUGUAAGAAGAAAGAAAAAAAGGUUGAUUAUUCUUUCUUUAAUCUUAAUAUAUAUGUCCUUACAACAUUUUAUGUCAAUUUUAUGUUUGCAUUUUUUCUCCUUUUCUAUGAAUAAUUUUUCAUACAUGUAAUUCACAAUUUCAUGAUGUAGCAGCCAAGUCCAAAGCUAUUAGAAUUUACAAAAAUUCCUCAUGAUAAAUGAAAUCACAAUUAGUUUCUUUUAAAAAAUUUAUCAAUGUUUUUGUGCAUGACACAUGCCAUAUGAACAUGAUGGAUUUAGCAGAUUCCUAAUUAGAAUAGCCAGUCAGCCACUAGCAACAAAAAUUAACAAAUUUUGCAACUGUUUAUACUAGUUUGGGCAACAUAAAAGUUUAUCAGGGUCCAUCAGCUCCCAAUCAUCAAUUUAUAGAUUAAUAUGAUGUCAAAAGACGCUUCUAUACAAAAAUAUUACCCUUCUCAUUGGUGAGAUGUUGAGAGCUAACUCCAUGAAGAGCUAUAAACUUGAUAACAUCAGCUACUGCCAUGUCUCCUUCAUAAGAGACAGAGGUCUUCCUCUCAGCUGGAAAUAACAAUAGAGCAGGGUAAACUUCCCUCUGAUUUAUUGAUUUUAGAAUCAAACUGCAAUCAUUCAAUGUGCAAUCCAUUAAGAAGAUUUUGGGAAACUUCAAAUUACCAUUCUUCAGGUUAUCAAUAAGCACUGUUUCCUCAUUCCAAGAUCCAGUCUUCAACAUGUUCACAUGUCCUUUUAUGGCCCGAUAAACUUCACGAACAACCAACUCCAUUCUCUGACAAAAUCCACACCAACUAUUGCUAAAUAGGACCAACACAUCCUCUUUCCAAGCAUGGGAAGCAUUAUCAUCAUCAGAUUGAUUAAAACCAAUAACCUGCUCAGUGAAAGUUUGAGCUGUAACUCGAGGGAUGGAAUCUACUUCGUGGAAAUCCACAUUAACAAAUGGUGGAUGAGUUCCUUCUCUAGGGCUUUCAGGUUCAGACUCGGAGCGUUGGUAUGGGAUAAGCAUUCCGUUGAGAAAUCUAUGAAGAGAAUCCUCCAGUGCAGAAUAGCUGAAAUUCUUCUGCUCAGGAACAUAAUGCUGCUGUGAAAUGGGAUUGAUUAUUACUAAGGAUGGAACCCUUGUCUCACCAGUCAAAGCUCUUAGCAACCGGUAGUUUCCAUCAGAGAAGAAGAAAGAACCCUUAAAACUUUGAAAGUGAAGCUGUUCUUCCUCCAACUGGUCUACUUGUCUAGAAACUUUUUCUUCCGCCUGUACAACUGAAAUAGCUAGCCCACCAUUUGACAUAGGUUGGUCAAGCUUUACAGAUAUUAAAUGUCUACUUGUAUCAACAUGAUUUGUCGUCUCUUCAUCAUUUGGGGAAGGGCAUCUAAUAUCAGUAGGUUGGCAGCUUUUGUCAUGAUUUGAAGCAGAAUCUUUGCCCAGAUCAACACUACUUUUGGCAAGGUCUUCCUCAGAUGGUACAGCUGAAUCUUCUGUAGAUUCCACCUGUGGUUCUGAUGGUAAUUUAUCAGCUCUAAUGUCAAUAUCAUCAGAUAAAAGUUGGAAACCCGCAUCCUUGGCAAUUGAACUUAAUUUUCCUUCUUUCUUUUGCUCAAGAAGAUAUGUUAAGAUUUCACGCAAUGAACUUCCUUGUGAAUCUGAAGCUAAAUUAUCUAAAAUGGCACGUUUUCCCUCAUCUACAAUCAUGAUCGACAUCUUCUCCUUUAACUUAAUCUUCUGUGCCAUUGGAGAUAGUUUUAACCUAGGAUGUCCAGAUAUAAUUUUAUAUUGUUGAAAAACUUGGGCAGAGGAUCGUUCAGACUUGUCACCAUUUUGCUGGCCUAUCUGAUCUGAAAUUCGAUAUUCUAAUGCUAAUUUUCUGAACAUAUCAAGUGCUUCCUUACUACUCCUUUUAGUUUCUGCUGAGUUGGAGAAUCUAUCUACAAACAGAAGUACCGAUGGUUUACUUGCAGGUACAGCAGGAUCAAGAUCUUGUCCAUUACCUUCCAGCUCUGUAACUAUUGAUUCAUCCAUCAGUAGAACUUUCUUAAGGUCAUCCCCCUCUUUUAGAAUCUUUGAACAGCUUGGACAUCCAUUAAAGUAAAGCAUUGUGGACCAUGAACCAGAAUCCCCAACACCAAGAGAUGGAAGCAAUGAUCUUUCUGAAACCAGACCAAAUCUGUACCUCUCAGACGGCAGGAAAAAUUCUCUUGCAACAUUCAUGAAUCCUGAUAAGAAAGAAUCAAAUUGCUGAAACUCUUCAAAGGUACAAGAGGACAAUCCAACAGUAGGUUUUACAUUGUCAGUCUCCAGGAGAGGAGCACUGCCAUUUGCUGAGCUAAAUUCACUCAGCCAAGGAAUUACACCGAACCCAUCUUGGAUGCUGCAUUUUAAACUUGCCAUUUCAGUCCCCUUCUGGUUCUCACUUCCACUGGGCACCGGAAUUGUAACGGCAUCUCCAUUGAAGCCCGCUCCAGCAAAAUCCCCAGUUGCGUUCCUCUUCUUGCUAGCCAUCAACUCAGGAGUCCAUCCACAGAAUUCAAGAAGAAUCAAAGCCUUAUCCGUAGAUUCCAGGAACAUUUUCAGUUCCUCCUGAGUCUUCAGAACCUUGAGGGGAAUUUCAUCAGGCGAAACAGACAUGUAAGGAAGAAUAGAAGAGAGUAUAUUUCCAGCAAUAAGUUUGCCUUGAUACUUGUAAGAUGAAGAGUGAUGGAAGUAUAUAAUCGUUAUCAUUCCCUCUGUAGCUCCAAUAGCAUCCGCUAGCAACUUCUCUUUGUUCCUCAGCAUAUACAUCAACUUUAGAGAUCCAAACUCCUCUCGCCGAUCGCUAACCAAACGGCUUAAUUCCUUCAUCAGGGAUCGAGAUUCCCCUGACCAGGGAACGGAGACCAAGAGGAGGACGUGCGGAUGGAGCCUGAUCUGGGAAGAAAAGUUCUGCUUGGUCAGAAUCUGCCAUUUUCCGUUGCCGUCCGAUUCGCAGUUGACGGCCGACGAAGAUAUGAUGAGGAUUUUUACAAUAAAAGCCACGACAAGAGUCGCCCCUUUCAUUAGUUUAAGCUUGUUCAGUUGUUUGCUGAUUUUGCUUCUCAAUCCCAAAUAGAGAAGAGACGGUUUCGGAUCUUAUUAAG